UACGUAGGGGGCAAGCGUUGUCCGGAAUCACUGGGCGUAAAGGGCGCGUAGGUGGUGGCUUAAGCGUGCGGUGAAAGCUCGGGGCUCAACCCCGAGUCGGCCGUGCGAACUGGGCUCACUGGAGCAUAGUAGAGGCAGGUGGAAUUCCGGGUGUAGCGGUGGAAUGCGUAGAGAUCCGGAAGAACACCGGUGGCGAAGGCGGCCUGCUGGGCUAUGGCUGACACUGAGGCGCGACAGCGUGGGGAGCAAACAGG
rnacentral:rRNA from 1 species